GAAGGUAUAGCUCAGUGGUAGAGCACAUGCUUUGCAUGCACAAGGUCCUGGAUUCAAUCCCAGUACCUCCA
rnacentral:tRNA from 1 species